UGUCCCUACGGGAGGCAGCAGUGAGGAAUAUUGGUCAAUGGGCGGGAGCCUGAACCAGCCAAGUCGCGUGAGGGAAGGCGGUCCUAUGGAUUGUAAACCUCCUUUGUCGGGGAGCAAAGAGACCACGUGUGGUCAAAAGCGAGAGUACCCGAAGAAAAAGCAUCGGCUAACUCCGUGCCGGCAGCCGCGGUAAUACGGAGGAUGCGAGCGUUAUCCGGAUUUAUUGGGUUUAAAGGGUGCGUAGGCGGGACGGUAAGUCAGCGGUAAAAAUGCGGAGCUCAACUCCGGCGAGCCGUUGAAACUGG
rnacentral:rRNA from 1 species